UACGAAGGGGGCUAGCGUUGCUCGGAAUCACUGGGCGUAAAGCGCACGUAGGCGGAUUGUUAAGUCAGGGGUGAAAUCCUGGAGCUCAACUCCAGAACUGCCUUUGAUACUGGCGAUCUUGAGUCCGGGAGAGGUGAGUGGAACUGCGAGUGUAGAGGUGAAAAUUCGUAGAUAUUCGCAAGAACACCAGUGGCGAAGGCGGCUCACUGGCCCGGUAUGACGCUGAGGUGCGAAA
rnacentral:rRNA from 1 species